rnacentral:rRNA from 1 species
UACGUAGGGCGCAAGCGUUAUCCGGAAUUAUUGGGCGUAAAGAGCUCGUAGGCGGUUUGUCGCGUCUGCCGUGAAAGUCCGGGGCUCAACUCCGGAUCUGCGGUGGGUACGGGCAGACUAGAGUGAUGUAGGGGAGACUGGAAUUCCUGGUGUAGCGGUGAAAUGCGUAGAUAUCGAGAGGAACACCUGCGGCGAAGGCGGGUUGCUGGGCUGACACUGACGCUGAUGCGCGAAAGCUAGGGGAGCGAACGGG